rnacentral:rRNA from 1 species
AUUGAACGCUGGCGGCAUGCCUUACACAUGCAAGUCGAACGGCAGCACGGGAGCAAUCCUGGUGGCGAGUGGCGAACGGGUGAGUAAUACAUCGGAACGUGCCCAAUCGUGGGGGAUAACGCAGCGAAAGCUGUGCUAAUACCGCAUACGAUCUACGGAUGAAAGCAGGGGAUCGCAAGACCUUGCGCGAAUGGAGCGGCCGAUGGCAGAUUAGGUAGUUGGUGAGGUAAAGGCUCACCAAGCCGUCGAUCUGUAGCUGGUCUGAGAGGACGACCAGCCACACUGGGACUGAGUCACGGCCCAGACUCCUACGGGAGGCAGCAGUGGGGAAUUUUGGACAAUGGGCGAAAGCCUGAUCCAGCCAUGCCGCGUGCAGGAUGAAGGCCUUCGGGUUGUAAACUGCUUUUGUACGGAACGAAACGGCCUUUUCUAAUAAAGAGGGCUAAUGACGGUACCGUAAGAAUAAGCACCGGCUAACUACGUGCCAGCAGCCGCGGUAAUACGUAGGGUGCAAGCGUUAAUCGGAAUUACUGGGCGUAAAGCGUGCGCAGGCGGUUAUGUAAGACAGUUGUGAAAUCCCCGGGCUCAACCUGGGAACUGCAUCUGUGACUGCAUAGCUAGAGUACGGUAGAGGGGGAUGGAAUUCCGCGUGUAGCAGUGAAAUGCGUAGAUAUGCGGAGGAACACCGAUGGCGAAGGCAAUCCCCUGGACCUGUACUGACGCUCAUGCACGAAAGCGUGGGGAGCAAACAGG